GACGAACGCUGGCGGCGUGCCUAAUACAUGCAAGUUGAGCGCUGAAGGUUGGUACUUGUACCAACUGGAUGAGCAGCGAACGGGUGAGUAACGCGUGGGGAAUCUGCCUUUGAGCGGGGGACAACAUUGGGAAACGAAUGCUAAUACCGCAUAAAAACUUUAAACACAAGUUUUAAGUUUGAAAGAUGCAAUUGCAUCACUCAAAGAUGAUCCCGCGUUGUAUUAGCUAGUUGGUGAGGUAAAGGCUCACCAAGGCGAUGAUACAUAGCCGACCUGAGAGGGUGAUCGGCCACAUUGGGACUGAGACACGGCCCAAACUCCUACGGGAGGCAGCAGUAGGGAAACUUCGGCAAUGGACGAAAGUCUGACCGAGCAACGCCGCGUGAGUGAAGAAGGUUUUCGGAUCGUAAAACUCUGUAGGUAGAGAAGAACGUUGGUGAGAGUGGAAAGCUCAUCAAGUGACGGUAACUACCCAGAAAGGGACGGCUAACUACGUG
rnacentral:rRNA from 1 species